UCCUCUUUUAGGUCAUCUACCCCUUUGCUGUCCAACUCACUGGGAGGAGAAAAAAGGAGUCAGUGCCGAAGAAGACGUGAGGAAGCAAAGAUGCUCUGCAUGCAGGAAAGUCAAGAAUAAGCCAAGACCUGGCUGUCCCCACAUACGGAAUCAUGCAGGCAAAUGCAGCCACCCAUCCCAAAGGCAAAGAAAGAUGGCGAGAUACACUCCUGAGGAAAGGAAAGGAGAAGAAGGACUUCCAAAAAAUCAAAAUGAAAGGAAAUAUAAGGGAAGGGAAAUAUAAAUCACCAGGAAAUGUGUCUGUCUAUAAAAUUAAAGUUCAGAGAGAACAUGUAAA